rnacentral:rRNA from 1 species
GACGAACGCUGGCGGCGUGCUUAACACAUGCAAGUCGAACGGAAAGGCCCUGCUUUUGUGGGGUGCUCGAGUGGCGAACGGGUGAGUAACACGUGAGUAACCUGCCCUUGACUUUGGGAUAACUUCAGGAAACUGGGGCUAAUACCGGAUAGGAGCUCCUGCUGCAUGGUGGGGGUUGGAAAGUUUCGGCGGUUGGGGAUGGACUCGCGGCUUAUCAGCUUGUUGGUGGGGUAGUGGCUUUCCAAGGCUUUGAAGGGUAGCCGGCCUGAGAGGGUGACCGGGCACAUUGGGACUGCGGGACGGCCCAGACGCCUACGGGAGGCAGCAGUGGGGAGUAUUACACAGUGGGCGGAAGCCUGAUACAACGACGCCGCGUGCGGGAUGACGGCCUUCGGGUUGUAAACCGCUUUCGCAUGUAACGAAGCGUGAGUGACGGUAAUGGGUAAAAAAGCACCGGCUAACUACGUG